rnacentral:rRNA from 1 species
UACCAGCACCCCGAGUGGUCGGGACGAUUAUUGGGCCUAAAGCAUCCGUAGCUUGUUCUGCAAGUCCUCCGUUAAAUCCACCUGCUCAACAGAUGGGCUGCGGGGGAUACUACAGGGCUAGGAGGCGGGAGAGGCAAGCGGUACUCAGUGGGUAGGGGUAAAAUCCACUGAUCCACUGAAGACCACCAGUGGCGAAGGCGGCUUGCCAGAACGCGCUCGACGGUGAGGGAUGAAAGCUGGGGGAGCAAACCGG